UACGUAGGGUGCAAGCGUUGUCCGGAAUUAUUGGGCGUAAAGAGCUCGUAGGCGGUUUGUCGCGUCUGCUGUGAAAACUCGAGGCUCAACCUCGAGACGCCGGUGGAAACCGUAAAGCUAGAGUCCGGAAGAGGAGAGUGGAAUUCCUGGUGUAGCGGUGAAAUGCGCAGAUAUCAGGAAGAACACCCGUGGCGAAGGCGGCUCUCUGGGACGGUACUGACGCUGAGGCGCGAAAGCGUGGGGAGCGAACAGG
rnacentral:rRNA from 1 species